CCUGACGGAGCACGCCGCGUGAACGAUGAAGGCCUUCGGGUCGUAAAGUUCUGUUGUUAGGGAAGAACAAGUACCGGAGUAACUGCCGGUACCUUGACGGUACCUAACCAGAAAGCCACGGCUAACUACGUG
rnacentral:rRNA from 1 species